AGAUAGGUCACGGCUCAUGCGAUUCGGAGUCGGCCUGAACUGCAUGCCCGAAGAGGGACAGGAACCUUGGAAAUGAAGUGUGUGUCGGAAAAUGCCACCCAAGCUUUCAGAAACUCCAGAAGUCCUGAAAGACGUAUUCCUCAGUGAGACAGAGAGCGUGUGGGCAGGAUUGCAGAGGUUCAUGGAGCAGACAUGCACAAGCUUGGGGCAUUCUAUGAAAAGUUUCCACACGAGAGAGAGAUUAUCUCCUACCCCUGUGCAUAAUGCUGACGCACAACACAGGAAAUUAAGUGGUAAAGGAGAAGGAGCUGAGAGUUCUACAUCUGCAUCAGCAGGAGAAGGAGCUGCGAGUUCUGUGUCUGCAUCAACAGGAGAAGGAGCUGAGAGUUCUACAUCUACAUCAGCAGGAGAAGGAGCUGAGAGUUCUGUAUCUGCAUCAGCAGGAGAAG